CACUUGCAGAUGGACCCGCGGCGCAUUAGCUAGUUGGUGAGGUAACGGCUCACCAAGGCGACGAUGCGUAGCCGACCUGAGAGGGUGAUCGGCCACACUGGGACUGAGACACGGCCCAGACUCCUACGGGAGGCAGCAGUAGGGAAUCUUCCGCAAUGGACGAAAGUCUGACGGAGCAACGCCGCGUGAGUGAUGAAGGUUUUCGGAUCGUAAAACUCUGUUGUUAGGGAAGAACAAGUACCGUUCGAAUAGGGCGGUACCUUGACGGUACCUAACCAGAAAGCCACGGCUAACUACGUGCCAGCAGCCGCGGUAAUACGUAGGUGGCAAGCGUUGUCCGGAAUUAUUGGGCGUAAAGCGCGCGCAGGCGGUUUCUUAAGUCUGAUGUGAAAGCCCCCGGCUCAACCGGGGAGGGUCAUUGGAAACUGGGGAACUUGAGUGCAGAAGAGGAGAGUGGAAUUCCACGUGUAGCGGUGAAAUGCGUAGAGAUGUGGAGGAACACCAGUGGCGAAGGCGACUCUCUGGUCUGUAACUGACGCUG
rnacentral:rRNA from 1 species